rnacentral:rRNA from 1 species
AGUGAACGCUGGCGGCGGUGCCUAAUACAUGCAAGUCGAACGGAAUUUAAAAGAGCUUGCUCUUUUAAAUUUAGUGGCGCACGGGUGCGUAAUAUAUAGCUAAUCUGCCCCUUGCUGGAGGACAACAGUUAGAAAUGACUGCUAAUACUCCAUACUCCUUUUUACCAUAAGAUAAAUCGGGAAAGAAUUUCGGCAAGGGAUGAGACUAUAUCGUAUCAGCUAGUUGGUGGGGUAACGGCCUACCGAGGCUAUGACGCGUAACUGGUCUGAGAGGAUGAUCAGUCACAUUGGAACUGAGACACGGUCCAAACUCCUACGGGAGGCAGCAGUAGGGAAUAUUGCGCAAUGGGGGAAACCCUGACGCAGCAACGCCGCGUGGAGGAUGACACUUUUCGGAGCGUAAACUCCUUUUGUUAGGGAAGAAUAAUGACGGUACCUAACGAAUAAGCACCGGCUAA